CCAUCGGCAAAGAAGGAGAAGAGUAGGCAGCCUUACCCCUUCCAGAGAGGAGAUGCCCUGGGCUGGAAGCAUCUCUAAGGUGGAAGCUGUUGAAUUCCCUCCGGAGCUGUCCUGUGAGCCUUUCCGUUUAAGGAAACGGGGUAGCAGUGACCGGGUCAAUCCCGUUAUCGACAAUGAAGUGAGCCAGGCAGCAUCUUUGUAUUUGAUGUAAUGGAAUUGAGAUUCAACCCCAGCAACUGGCCUGGCUAACAAGGGUGGUACCGCGAAGUCUCGUCCCUUAC
rnacentral:ncRNA from 1 species